GGCCUUGGAACUAAUUAGUUUCACAUUUUUGUAAAUCAUAAAAAUCAAUUAUAUCCCCCAUGGAAGCAUGAUCACUUUCUUUUCCAAUGGAUCGAUCGAGCUCAGUUACUUCUGGUAGGGUUACCGAUCUUUCUGUUCUGGACAGAUAAUUUUAAUUAACCUUUUUCCAAAACUACCGCUCAUUAUCCUCUUCAUGACGCCGAUGAUCCUCACCAUCCAGACCCUCAGCAAGAACAGCUUCUCCAAGAUCCCCUCAAAUUCCCUACCCAGAAGAAAUAUAGUGGCAGUGGGGGAUUUGGCAUUGGAUGCACCAUCAAUAUUGAUUUUUGUACAUCUUGUUCAUUUCCCCGGAUCGAUGUAACCCUUCCCUUCCAACUUCCAAGGCGCCUGCUGAGCAAACUGGUACCGGUUGUUCAAGUAGGAAUCAUCGGGACGAUAAUGGUCGGCAAACAUGUGUUCUCGGGGCUGGGAAUAACGACUCCACCUCCUUGGUACCAGGCCUUGCUAGCAAGUAGGUUUGGAAGUAUGGCAAGCACUUGGCUUUUUGGAAACUUCAUCCAAUCCUUCCUUUAAAGCACAGGAGCUUUUUAAGUGUGUUGUAAUGGUGAACUGGUAUACCCUACCCUCUUCUCGAUUGAGUUAAAUGUCGAAAUUUCUCCAUUUCUAUCUCCGCUAGCUGCUCAUCGUUAUGAAUCUUGUCGGACGUAGCUCUUCUCGAAGCUGAAGGAGCAGAGGUUCCCUAAUGAAAUUGAGUUGAGGGAUCUCGUCGGAAAGAGCUUGGAGGAGGGGUAUGGUCUUAGUGCGCAGGAGGAGGAGACGUUUUUACCUCUACACGAUCGACAUAUACCUGAUCGUUUGUUUAAUAUGAAAGCAAGAUUGCCUUGCGGUUUAUAUGCUUUAA